rnacentral:lncRNA from 12 species
GAAUCUUCUGGUUAACCACACCGCUCUUGUUGGAUAUGGCACCCUCAGAUGCGGAGCCCCCCUGAAUGCUACUGGCUGUGGCCAUGCUGGCUCCUUUUGCUGAGCUCCGUACUAGAUUCUGGAAAAGCAGAGAUGGCCACCAGGUACCGCGAUUGAGGAAAUCAGUUACUACUGAAUCAUAUGCUGCAACGAGAAAUAAUAUCUGAAAAUUCACAACCUCUACGAAGCGUGACUUCUGGGCCUCUUUUUUAUACCAUUGCCUGCCUCAUACCCCACCUUGGACCCCUUUCUCUUCCCUCCACUGUGAAGUCAUAUGAUAAUUUCUCACCGGAAAUGAAAGACUCUUCCUGCAAAAAUGACUUUGGAAAGUUCCUGGAGCGCACUACAAGUUGGAUUUGCCCAUGGUUGGGCUGA